rnacentral:lncRNA from 1 species
GGCAUGGCUCCCAGCUGGAUGGGGCAAAUUCCCAGCUGGAAUUUGCUCCAGCACCACUUGCUGCAAGUCCUGGUGGUCCCUGUCUUCCACUCCCCACCUCUGGCUGUGCACGGAGCAUCCCACAAGCCAAGGGUUGAAGGCAGGUUCCCGUGCUGGGAUUUGGGAUCCACAGGGCGGUGGCGCUGACCCCACAGCGGGCAGGCAGGGAUGCCUUUGGGAGUCAAGCGGGACCAAACCCAGAGCUGCCUGUUGUUUGGCGACACAGAAAUGUGACCUUAAUUGACUCUGCUGCUGGGCGCACUGCGUAAAUCACUCCUGGCACCGAGGGAGCUGCCCCGUGUGCCCCAGCCCCACGGCAGCACCGUGUCCGGGAUUGCUGCUGGCAGGACAGGGGUGGUGGCACCGGGUGGUGGCACCGGGUGGUGGCACGGGGUGGUGGCACAUUGUGGUGGCACAGUGCAGUGCAUGCCCUGGUCCAUGGAGGCAGCAGCAGAGGCUGUGAUGCCCUCCAUGGAUCCCAGGCUGAGCCUGCCACUGGGCUUUUGAAAGCUCUGGGGCCUUGGGACUGGGACUACACUAAGCAUUUGGGGAUUUUCAUCUGACACAAAGAUGAAAAACUGUUUCUCUGUGCUCCUCAAGACCCUUUAGCCUCCUGCCUCUGCCGAUGGCACAGCUGUGCUGAUAAGGCUCCUUACCUGCCGUCCCUGGGACUCACUGAGUUAACAUCAUCGCAAGAUAAAUUAAAUGCGAUGACAAUGCAGCAAAUCCUCCUGCAAAUGCCUGCCUUGCACUUAGCCAGACGACUUAUUGGGAGGGUAUCAGUGGGCUGGACCAUUAGCAGAUAUAAUUUGCAGGCUCCUGAGGAGAGGUUAAGGGCUGGAGCUGCUCCCUGAGAGAUGCCUCCGUCUCCCCGCACUGCCCGCCCCGGCCCUAAUCAAGUUCUCCUCUCAGCCCAUGCCCUGCGGGCCCCUCACUGCCUUCAAUGAGGGGAAAUUUGCAGACAAAUUUCUGCCAGCAGGACGCUGGAGCUCUCCUGUGUGGCGGAAUAAAGAUCCCUGCAGCUUCUGUGCCUGCCGGGGGAGUGUGUCCAGGCGUGGGAGGACGAGGGGACAGGUGGUGGCCGUCGAGAGCUGUGCCCUCAGGAGAGCUCUGAAGUACCUGUCCUGUUAUUUCUGCCAAGGGCAGUGCUGCAAGCUGCUGGGGACGGACGGUGGGGGACCAGCCCUCCCCUGCACACAGCGUCCAUCCUCUAAGCCCAUUCCCAGCCCCUGGCAAGCCCCUGGGCAAGCAGCUAGCCGGAGACAUGCCACCUGGGUGGCCACUGCCCAGCAAGGAGGACGUUUGGGUCCGUGGGUGUCACCUCCCUUGGGUGCUCCCAGGGCACGGCGUGAGCAGCAGGCACCGAGGAAGGUGGGAGUGGGGAUCGGUGCGGUGGGCACGGUCGCCUUGAGGAGCCUGCUCGUUUCACUGGCUUAAUUUCAGGCACCCUCCAAAUAAAUGCAUUUUACAGCCCUUCCCUUCCUCGCCCAUUGGGAUGAGAAAGUUUCAAGGGGACUUAGGGCCCUGCCUCCAUCCCAGUGAGCCAGGCGGCAAAGCUCCGGCGGUGCCAGGCAUGGCAAUUUUCUGCACCAGCGCCGCAAACAAACAGGCAGCAGCGGGGCAGGGGAGUCAAGAGCACAGCACCCUGCUCAGAAAGGGAAGACAAACAAGACUUUGUCCUCAGCAGGCAGCCCCGGGGCUGGCCGUGUGUCCUCCCCAGCGCACAGCCCUGGCACUGGCUCUCCUAACGCCCAGUCCUAGUGGAGCAGACUGGGACGGGUGCGAGCAGGAGCCUGUCUGACCUCCUCAGGACGUGACCCCAGCAAGUGACAAAGCAGCUCUGCUUCGGGAGGGGGGUCUCGGUGGGCUCUAGCAGGUGGGGGACAACUCUGAGCUAUGAAAUUUGGCUGCUGUGCCUCCCCCAUGAAGGAUGGAGGCCGUGCACUGCCUGUGCCACCAGAACCUCUCGUUCUUCUGCCUGGGGGUGAUGGUUAAAACCAGCUUCUGCAGCCUGAAGACCUUUGUGGGAUCCUGCAGCCAGGGAAAUAGGGGCGAUAAGGGAGCCCUCGUUCCCAGGAGGAUGCUGCUGGGCAGGGGAAGCGCCUCCGCCUCGCCGCCUGCCCCGGCAGCUCCCCAGAGGCGUGCUGUGACCCUGCCCUCGCUCCUGCCGUGCCACUGGCUGAGCAAACACAAUGCUGCUCAGCCCGCCGGGGGCUGCGGCACCUCCAGCCAGCUGAGAUAAACCCCAUUGUGCUCCCGAAAUGAGAGAGCAAAAAACCCAGCGCUGGCUCCUCCGUACUGCACAGGCUGCUCCCACUGACCGCCUAGCAGUGCGGGUGGGGAGGUGGCACGGACACCCUGUCCCCAUGGGUCUGUCCCCAUGUCCCCUGGCCGUGUGCUACCCACCCGAGCCCCCCAGCCCCAGCCACGCAGCUGAGCCCAGCGGGGAGCCCAGCCUGCGCCAGCGCUGCCUGCGAGCGCUAACAGCUGCUUGGAGCCCGCUCAGAAACACCAGCACGGGCUGUCAGGCUGCCAGCCCCGCUGCUCCCGAGCACAAUAACAGCUCGGGGAUGGCUGAACGCAGGCGGUCCCGUGGGAAGGGAAGUGCAGAGCUUGGUGCUGUGGGACAAGCCAGCGCCCACCCCAUGGUGAGGGGUUGAGGAGAAAGGAAACGUCCACGUCAUGGCCACUGGGUGUUCACCGUGAGACCCUCGGGCAGCUCUCAGCCCCACCAGUGGGAGCAGAAGGGCUCCAGAUUGCACCAGUAAGACCCCUGGCCCUGUCUGUUGAUGCCUUCAGAAGGGCAGCCUCAAGGGAUGCCCCAGCCCCUCCUCUAGCUGGCAGCAGCUCAGGUAUCACCCCUCAUCCACACGCUGCAAUUGUAUCUCUGGGUGCAAGGGGCCAUGUGCUCUCUGUCCCCAAAACAAUUCAUUUCCCUGCUGGGGCGAGGGCAGGUUAUCCUCCAGGU